CCUACGGGGGGCAGCAGUGAGGAAUAUUGGUCAAUGGGCGAGAGCCUGAACCAGCCAAGUCGCGUGAGGGAGUACUGCCCUAUGGGUUGUAAACCUCUUUUGUCGGGGAGCAAAAGCCGGACGUGUCCGGCUGUGAGAGUACCCGAAGAAAAAGCAUCUGCUAACUCCGUGCCAGCAGCCGCUGUAAUACGUAGGGAGCAAGCGUUAUCCGGAUUUACUGGGUGUAAAGGGCGAGUAGGCGGGCUGGCAAGGUGGGUGUGAAAUCCCGGGGGUUAACCCCGGAACUGCUUUCAAAACUGCUGGUCUUGAGUGAUGGAGAGGCAGGCGGAAUUCCGGGUGUAGCGGUGAAAUGCGUAGAUAUACGGAGGAACACCAGUGGCGAAGGCGGCCUGCUGGACAUCAACUGACGCUGAGGAGCGAAAGCGUGGGGAGCAAACAGGAUUAGAUACCCUAGUAGUC
rnacentral:rRNA from 1 species